GCUGUGUAUCACGGGAAAACAUCUUGCCAUCAAAAUCUAUUAACCUAAGAGACUGUCCUGCAAAAAAUGACGACUCCUCAUCACUUGAGAUGCUCUUCAUUAGUAAGAACAAAACCCUCCUCUGACUUACAAGUCUUUUCUCUUUCUGAAAAACUGUAAGUUUAAUGGCUUACCUUGAACAAGGUAAUCAGUAGCUUCACUUUCCACCUCUUGACUGAGCUGCUUGGUUUUCUGCAGAUAUUUCAGGACAAAAACAUUGGGAGCAAAGUGGAUCAUGUUCUGCUCUCCACAUCCAAAUGGCAAUCGCAGAAGGUUGUCCAAGUUGUUCAACGUAGGACCCAUCACAUCUCCUAUUAUUGAAGCUGUAGCUCUUUCUGAUCCUGGAAUUAUGUUGUGGGGAACUCCAAGAGUAAAUGCUUCAUUGUGAUUUUCAUCAGUCUCUUCUUUCCUCCAAAUUUUAAACUCUCCUAUUGACCCCCAGCCUGUGGAAAAGCCAAUGUACUUCACCUCGAACUGCUUGGGGACUGUCCACUCCACAAUAAUAGACUCAUUUAGCACCCGAGUACCA
rnacentral:lncRNA from 1 species